AUAAUGGGUCAGCGACUUAUAUUCUGUAGCAAGGUUAACCGAAUAGGGGAGCCGAAGGGAAACCGAGUCUUAACUGGGCGUUAAGUUGCAGGGUAUAGACCCGAAACCCGGUGAUCUAGCCAUGGGCAGGUUGAAGGUUGGGUAACACUAACUGGAGGACCGAACCGACUAAUGUUGAAAAAUUAGCGGAUGACUUGUGGCUGGGGGUGAAAGGCCAAUCAAACCGGGAGAUAGCUGGUUCUCCCCGAAAGCUAUUUAGGUAGCGCCUCGUGAAUUCAUCUCCGGGGGUAGAGCACUGUUUCGGCAAGGGGGUCAUCCCGACUUACCAACCCGAUGCAAACUGCGAAUACCGGAGAAUGUUAUCACGGGAGACACACGGCGGGUGCUAACGUCCGUCGUGAAGAGGGAAACAACCCAGACCGCCAGCUAAGGUCCCAAAGUCAUGGUUAAGUGGGAAACGAUGUGGGAAGGCCCAGACAGCCAGGAUGUUGGCUUAGAAGCAGCCAUCAUUUAAAGAAAGCGUAAUAGCUCACUGGUCGAGUCGGCCUGCGCGGAAGAUGUAACGGGGCUAAACCAUGCACCGAAGCUGCGGCAGCGACGCUGAUGCGUUGUUGGGUAGGGGAGCGUUCUGUAAGCCUGCGAAGGUGUGCUGUGAGGCAUGCUGGAGGUAUCAGAAGUGCGAAUGCUGACAUAAGUAACGAUAAAGCGGGUGAAAAGCCCGCUCGCCGGAAGACCAAGGGUUCCUGUCCAACGUUAAUCGGGGCAGGGUGAGUCGACCCCUAAGGCGAGGCCGAAAGGCGUAGUCGAUGGGAAACAGGUUAAUAUUCCUGUACUUGGUGUUACUGCGAAGGGGGGACGGAGAAGGCUAUGUUGGCCGGGCGACGGUUGUCCCGGUUUAAGCGUGUAGGCUGGUUUUCCAGGCAAAUCCGGAAAAUCAAGGCUGAGGCGUGAUGACGAGGCACUACGGUGCUGAAGCAACAAAUGCCCUGCUUCCAGGAAAAGCCUCUAAGCAUCAGGUAACAUCAAAUCGUACCCCAAACCGACACAGGUGGUCAGGUAGAGAAUACCAAGGCGCUUGAGAGAACUCGGGUGAAGGAACUAGGCAAAAUGGUGCCGUAACUUCGGGAGAAGGCACGCUGAUAUGUAGGUGAAGCGACUUGCUCGUGGAGCUGAAAUCAGUCGAAGAUACCAGCUGGCUGCAACUGUUUAUUAAAAACACAGCACUGUGCAAACACGAAAGUGGACGUAUACGGUGUGACGCCUGCCCGGUGCCGGAAGGUUAAUUGAUGGGGUUAGCGCAAGCGAAGCUCUUGAUCGAAGCCCCGGUAAACGGCGGCCGUAACUAUAACGGUCCUAAGGUAGCGAAAUUCCUUGUCGGGUAAGUUCCGACCUGCACGAAUGGCGUAAUGAUGGCCAGGCUGUCUCCACCCGAGACUCAGUGAAAUUGAACUCGCUGUGAAGAUGCAGUGUACCCGCGGCAAGACGGAAAGACCCCGUGAACCUUUACUAUAGCUUGACACUGAACAUUGAGCCUUGAUGUGUAGGAUAGGUGGGAGGCUUUGAAGUGUGGACGCCAGUCUGCAUGGAGCCGACCUUGAAAUACCACCCUUUAAUGUUUGAUGUUCUAACGUUGACCCGUAAUCCGGGUUGCGGACAGUGUCUGGUGGGUAGUUUGACUGGGGCGGUCUCCUCCUAAAGAGUAACGGAGGAGCACGAAGGUUGGCUAAUCCUGGUCGGACAUCAGGAGGUUAGUGCAAUGGCAUAAGCCAGCUUGACUGCGAGCGUGACGGCGCGAGCAGGUGCGAAAGCAGGUCAUAGUGAUCCGGUGGUUCUGAAUGGAAGGGCCAUCGCUCAACGGAUAAAAGGUACUCCGGGGAUAACAGGCUGAUACCGCCCAAGAGUUCAUAUCGACGGCGGUGUUUGGCACCUCGAUGUCGGCUCAUCACAUCCUGGGGCUGAAGUAGGUCCCAAGGGUAUGGCUGUUCGCCAUUUAAAGUGGUACGCGAGCUGGGUUUAGAACGUCGUGAGACAGUUCGGUCCCUA
rnacentral:rRNA from 1 species